AGAGGGUGCGAGCGUUAAUCGGAAUUACUGGGCGUAAAGGGCGCGUAGGUGGAUUAGUAAGUUGGAUGUGAAAGCCCCGGGCUCAACCUGGGAGGGCCAUCCAAAACUGUGAGUCUAGAGUACAGCAGAGGGAAGUGGAAUUUCCGGUGUAGCGGUGAAAUGCGUAGAUAUCGGAAGGAACACCAGUGGCGAAGGCGGCUUCCUGGACUGAUACUGACACUGAGGCGCGAAAGCGUGGGUAGCAAACAGGGAUUAGAUACCCUGGUAGUCCACGCCGUAAACGAUGAAAACUAGCCCGUUGGGGGAUUAAUUUCCCUUUAGUGGCGCAGCUAACGCGAUAAGUUUUUCCGCCUGGGGAGUACGACCGCAAGGUUA
rnacentral:rRNA from 1 species